rnacentral:misc_RNA from 1 species
GAAAUGCGAUAAGUAAUGUGAAUUGCAGAAUUCCGUGAAUCAUCGAAUCUUUGAACGCACAUUGCGCCCUCUGGUAUUCCGGGGGGCAUGCCUGUCCGAGCGUCAUUGCGAACCCCUCAAGCACGGCUUGUGUGAUGGGCCCUCCCGCGUCUUGGUCGUCAAGACGGGCCCGAAAUGCAGUGGCGGCUUCGCGGUUAUCCGAUCAGCCAGAGCGUAUGGGGACUCUCUCUCUGUCACACGCCCGCGGCGCGGACCGACGCCUGUCGACCUUUAUUCAUCUCUUCCCGGUUGACCUCGGAUCAGGUAGGGAUACCCGCUGAACUUAAGC